GACGAACGCUGGCGGCGUGCUUAACACAUGCAAGUCGAACGGUGAUGGCCAGCUUGCUGGUCUGAUCAGUGGCGAACGGGUGAGUAACACGUGAGCAACCUACCCCAGACUCUGGAAUAACCAUGGGAAACGAUGGCUAAUACCGGAUACGAGACACACGCGCACGUGUGGUGUCUGGAAAGAUUUAUCGGUCUGGGAUGGGCUCGCGGCCUAUCAGCUUGUUGGUGGGGUAGUGGCCUACCAAGGCGACGACGGGUAGCCGGCCUGAGAGGGCGACCGGCCACACUGGGACUGAGAUACGGCCCAGACUCCUACGGGAGGCAGCAGUGGGGAAUAUUGCACAAUGGGCGCAAGCCUGAUGCAGCGACGCCGCGUGAGGGAUGACGGCCUUCGGGUUGUAAACCUCUUUCAGCAGGGAAGAAGCGAAAGUGACGGUACCUGCAGAAGAAGCGCCGGCUAACUACGUGCCAGCAGCCGCGGUAAUACGUAGGGCGCAAGCGUUGUCCGGAAUUAUUGGGCGUAAAGAGCUCGUAGGCGGUUUGUCGCGUCUGCUGUGAAAACCUAAGGCUCAACCUUGGGCUUGCAGUGGGUACGGGCAGACUAGAGUGCGGUAGGGGUGACUGGAAUUCCUGGUGUAGCGGUGGAAUGCGCAGAUAUCAGGAGGAACACCGAUGGCGAAGGCAGGUCACUGGGCCGCAACUGACGCUGAGGAGCGAAAGCAUGGGGAGCGAACAGGAUUAGAUACCCUGGUAGUCCAUGCCGUAAACGUUGGGCACUAGGUGUGGGGCUCAUUCCACGAGUUCCGUGCCGCAGCAAACGCAUUAAGUGCCCCGCCUGGGGAGUACGGCCGCAAGGCUAAAACUCAAAGAAAUUGACGGGGGCCCGCACAAGCGGCGGAGCAUGCGGAUUAAUUCGAUGCAACGCGAAGAACCUUACCAAGGCUUGACAUACACCGGAAACUUCCAGAGAUGGUUGCCCCGCAAGGUCGGUGUACAGGUGGUGCAUGGUUGUCGUCAGCUCGUGUCGUGAGAUGUUGGGUUAAGUCCCGCAACGAGCGCAACCCUCGUCCCAUGUUGCCAGCGGGUUAUGCCGGGGACUCAUGGGAGACUGCCGGGGUCAACUCGGAGGAAGGUGGGGAUGACGUCAAAUCAUCAUGCCCCUUAUGUCUUGGGCUUCACGCAUGCUACAAUGGCCGGUACAAAGGGCUGCGAUACCGCGAGGUGGAGCGAAUCCCAAAAAGCCGGUCUCAGUUCGGAUUGGGGUCUGCAACUCGACCCCAUGAAGUCGGAGUCGCUAGUAAUCGCAGAUCAGCAACGCUGCGGUGAAUACGUUCCCGGGCCU
rnacentral:rRNA from 1 species